rnacentral:rRNA from 1 species
UACGUAGGGACCAAGCGUUGUUCGGAUUUAUUGGGCGUAAAGGGUGCGUAGGCGGUUUGGUAAGUCUUAUGUGAAAUCUAUGGGCUCAACUCAUAGUCUGCAUGAGAAACUGCCGGGCUUGAGUGUGGGAGAGGUGAGUGGAAUUUCCGGUGUAGCGGUGAAAUGCGUAGAUAUCGGGAGGAACACCGGUGGCGAAGGCGGUUCUCUGGGCCUGUUCUGACGCUGAGGAGCGAAAGCGUGGGGAGCGAACAGG